rnacentral:rRNA from 1 species
GAUGAACGCUAGCUACAGGCUUAACACAUGCAAGUCGAGGGGUAACGAGAGGGAAGCUUGCUUUCCUUGUCGACGACCGGCGCACGGGUGAGUAACGCGUAUCCAACCUGCCCCCAACUAGGGAAUAACCUUGCGAAAGUAAGACUAAUACCCUAUAAUUUCCUCAGAUGUCAUCUGACGAGGAAUAAAGAUUUAUCGGUUGUGGAUGGGGAUGCGUCUGAUUAGCUUGUUGGCGGGGUAACGGCCCACCAAGGCAACGAUCAGUAGGGGUUCUGAGAGGAAGGUCCCCCACAUUGGAACUGAGACACGGUCCAAACUCCUACGAGAGGCAGCAGUGAGGAAUAUUGGUCAAUGGGCGGAAGCCUGAACCAGCCAAGUAGCGUGAAGGAUGACGGCCCUAUGGGUUGUAAACUGCUUUUAUACAGGAAUAAAGUUAGCCACGUGUGGUUAUUUGUAGGUACUGUAUGAAUAAGGACCGGCUAAUUCCGUGCCAGCCGCCGCAGUAA